UGAUCGUACAGUUUACUUGGAUAACUGGGGUAAUCUAGAGAUAAUACAUGCGAGAAGCGCCGGCCUCGCGGGAGGCGUGCAUUUAUCAGACCAAAAACCGGCCGCGUCUUCGGGCGCGUUCGCCUUGGUGACUCUGGAUAACUUUGCGGAUCGCACGGUCUAGCACCGGCGACGGAUCAUUCAAGUGUCUGCCCUAUCAACUUUCGUCGGUACGGUAUUUGCCUACCGAGGUUCUUACGGGUGACGGGGAAUCAGGGUUCGAUUCCGGAGAGGGAGCCUGAGAAACGGCUACCACAUCCAAGGAAGGCAGCAGGCGCGCAAAUUACCCAUUCCCGACGCGGGGAGGUAGUGACGAAAAAUAACAAUGCAGGACUCGUUCGAGGCCCUGUAAUUGGAAUGAGUACACUUUAAAAGCUUUAACGAGUAUCCAUUGGAGGGCAAGUCUGGUGCCAGCAGCCGCGGUAAUUCCAGCUCCAAAAGAAUAUAUUUAAGUUGUUGCGGUUAAAAAGCUCGUAGUUGGAUUUUGGGCGCAGGCGGCCGGUCCGUCGCAAGGCGUGUACUGGACGUCCUGGCCUUCCCUCCGGUUCUCCGCCGGUGCUCUUGACUGAGUGUCGGCGGCGGCCGGAACGUUUACUUUGAAAAAAUUAGAGUGUUCAAAGCAGGCUCUCGAGCCUGGAUAAUGGUGCAUGGAAUAAUGGAAUAGGACCUCGGUUCUAUUUUGUUGGUUUUCGGAGCGCGAGGUAAUGAUUAAGAGGGACAGACGGGGGCAUUCGUACUGUGCCGUUAGAGGUGAAAUUCUUGGAUCGGCGCAAGACGAACGACUGCGAAAGCAUUUGCCAAGAAUGUUUUCUUUAAUCAAGAGCGAAAGUCAGAGGUUCGAAGACGAUCAGAUACCGUCCUAGUUCUGACUAUAAACGAUGCCAACUAGCGAUCGGGGGGCGUUACAUUGACGACCCCUCCGGCAGCUUACGGGAAACCAAAGUCUUUGGGUUCCGGGGGAAGUAUGGUUGCAAAGCUGAAACUUAAAGGAAUUGACGGAAGGGCACCACCAGGAGUGGAGCCUGCGGCUUAAUUUGACUCAACACGGGAAAUCUCACCCGGCCCGGACACA
rfam:Ciona savignyi cont_45759, whole genome shotgun sequence.